rnacentral:rRNA from 1 species
UAGGGAAUCUUCCACAAUGGACGCAAGUCUGAUGGAGCAACGCCGCGUGAGUGAAGAAGGUUUUCGGACCGUAAAGCUCUGUUGUUGGUGAAGAAGGAUAGAGGUAGUAACUGGCCUUUAUUUGACGGUAAUCAACCAGAAAGUCACGGCUAACUACGUGCCAGCAGCCGCGGUAAUACGUAGGUGCAAGCGUGUCGAUUUAUUGGGCGUAAAGCGAGCGCAGGCGGAAGAAUAAGUCUGAUGUGAAAGCCCUCGGCUUAACCGAGGA